rnacentral:rRNA from 1 species
UACGGAGGGUGCAAGCGUUAUCCGGAUUCACUGGGUUUAAAGGGUGCGUAGGUGGGCAGGUAAGUCAGUGGUGAAAUCUCCGGGCUUAACCCGGAAACUGCCAUUGAUACUAUCUGUCUUGAAUACCCUGGAGGUGAGCGGAAUAUGUCAUGUAGCGGUGAAAUGCUUAGAUAUGACAUAGAACACCCAUUGCGAAGGCAGCUCACUACGGGAAUAUUGACACUGAGGCACGAAAGCGUGGGGAUCAAACAGGAUUAGAUACCCCAGUAGUCC